rnacentral:rRNA from 1 species
GAUGAACGCUGGCGGCGUGCCUAAUACAUGCAAGUCGAGCGAACAGAUGAGGAGCUUGCUCCUCUGACGUUAGCGGCGGACGGGUGAGUAACACGUGGAUAACCUACCUAUAAGACUGGGAUAACUUCGGGAAACCGGAGCUAAUACCGGAUAAUAUAUUGAACCGCAUGGUUCAAUAGUGAAAGACGGUUUUGCUGUCACUUAUAGAUGGAUCCGCGCCGCAUUAGCUAGUUGGUAAGGUAACGGCUUACCAAGGCAACGAUGCGUAGCCGACCUGAGAGGGUGAUCGGCCACACUGGAACUGAGACACGCUCCAGACUCCUACGGGAGGCAGCAGUACGCAAGCUUCCACAAUGGGCCAAAGCCUGACGGCGCAACGCCCCGUCGGUGAUGAAUGUCUUCGGAUCGUAAAACUCUGUUAUUAGGGAAGACCAAAUGUGUAAGUAACUAUGCACGUCUUGACGGUACCUAAUCAGAAAGCCCCGGCUAACUCCGUG